rnacentral:SRP_RNA from 1 species
UCGUACUAGAUGGGGAGGUAGCGGUUCCUUGUAACUCGCAAUCCGCUAUAGCGAGGUUGAACUCCCAGUCUUAGGGUCUUGUCUUGUGGAGCUGGCUCAAGUAAGUGAUGAGGAUUUCUGGGUCCUGCGCAACGGAAACUUCUGAACCGUGUCAGAUCCUGACGGAAGCAGCAC